AUACGUAGGGUGCAAGCGUUAUCCGGAUUUAUUGGGCGUAAAGGGCUCGUAGGCGGUUCGUCGCGUCCGGUGUGAAAGUCCAUCGCUUAACGGUGGAUCCGCGCCGGGUACGGGCGGGCUUGAGUGCGGUAGGGGAGACUGGAAUUCCCGGUGUAACGGUGGAAUGUGUAGAUAUCGGGAAGAACACCAAUGGCGAAGGCAGGUCUCUGGGCCGUUACUGACGCUGAGGAGCGAAAGCGUGGGGAGC
rnacentral:rRNA from 1 species